rnacentral:rRNA from 1 species
CAUCACUACGCUAGAUGCAUAUCAAUAAGCGGAGGAAAAGAAACUAACAAGGAUUCCCUUAGUAACGGCGAGUGAAGCGGGAAGAGCUCAAAUUUGAAAUCUUCAAGGUUUUACCUUGACGAAUUGUAGUUUAAAGAAGUGUUUUCUGUUGAAGUUUUGGUAAAAGUUCUUUGGAAUAGGACAUCAUAGAGGGUGAGAAUCCCGUAUUUGACCAUUAUUUUCAGCUGUGUGAUACACUUUCAAAGAGUCGGAUUGUUUGGGAAUGCAGUCCAAAAUGGGUGGUAAAUUUCAUCUAAAGCUAAAUACUGGCGAGAGACCGAUAGCGAACAAGUACCGUGAGGGAAAGAUGAAAAGAACUUUGAAAAGAGAGUUAAACAGUACGUGAAAUUGUCAAAAGGGAAGCGUUUGACACCAGUGUUGUUUUCUCGAAAAUCAAUUAAAAAUGGUGGGAUUUUGUGUUGUAUUGACCUCUAUCAGCUUUCUGCACUCUUUUUCGAGUCUUUCUUAAUGCACUUUUCGGUUAACAAGUCAACAUCAAUUUCUUUUGUUGUAAAAAGGUCAUUGGAAGGUGGCUUUCUUUUCGGAGAAAGUGUUUAUAGUCUUUGACUUCUGCAAUCGGAGAGACUGAGGUCUGCAGCGUAGAUCCUUCUGGAUUAGAUUCAUUUGUGCUAAGUUACAACCGUUUAUAGACAACUUGUUGACUAUAUUCGAUCCUGUAGCUUACUCGCUUAUGUAAUUUUACCUACGCUUAGGAUGUUGAUCUACAGAGCGAGAG